rnacentral:rRNA from 1 species
AACGAACGCUGGCGGCAUGCCUAACACAUGCAAGUCGAACGAGACCUUCGGGUCUAGUGGCGCACGGGUGCGUAACGCGUGGGAAUCUGCCCUUGGGUUCGGAAUAACAGUUAGAAAUGACUGCUAAUACCGGAUAAUGUCUUCGGACCAAAGAUUUAUCGCCCAGGGAUGAGCCCGCGUAGGAUUAGCUAGUUGGUGAGGUAAAGGCUCACCAAGGCGACGAUCCUUAGCUGGUCUGAGAGGAUGAUCAGCCACACUGGGACUGAGACACGGCCCAGACUCCUACGGAGGCAGCAGUGGGGAAUAUUGGACAAUGGCGAAAGCCUGAUCCAGCAAUGCCGCGUGAGUGAUGAAGGCCUAGGGUUGUAAAGCUCUUUUACCCCGGGAAGAUAAUGACUGUACCGGGAGAAGUAAGCCCCGGCUAACUACCGUGCCAGCAGCCGCGGUAAU